UACCAGACUCCUACGGGAGGCAGCAGUGGGGAAUAUUGCACAAUGGGGGGAACCCUGAUGCAGCAACGCCGCGUGGGUGAAGAAGUACUUCGGUAUGUAAAGCCCUGUCAGCAGGGAAGAAAAUGACGGUACCUGACCAAGAAGCCCCGGCUAACUACGUGCCAGCAGCCGCGGUAAUACGUAGGGGGCAAGCGUUAUCCGGAUUUACUGGGUGUAAAGGGAGCGUAGACGGUGAAGUAAGUCUGGAGUGAAAGGCGGGGGCCCAACCCCCGGACUGCUCUGGAAACUAUUUGACUGGAGUGCAGGAGAGGUAAGCGGAAUUCCUAGUGUAGCGGUGAAAUGCGUAGAUAUUAGGAGGAACACCAGUGGCGAAGGCGGCUUACUGGACUGUAACUGACGUUGAGGCUCGAAAGCGUGGGGAGCAAACAGGAUUAGAUACCCUCGUACA
rnacentral:rRNA from 1 species